UUUAUACUGGAAGCCAGUGCUGGCUUGCAAAGUGCCUGGAGUGCUGGGAGCUGUGCUGCUACUUGCCUUACAGAUCCUGAUAAUAAAUUACCAGAGAAGGUACAGCUAUUGCUAACCAUAACAGCUUCUGGCACUUAAGUGAGUCACACUCACUUUUCAUCUCCAUUUUCUCUGCCUCCUACAAGCAGUAGUGUUUCUGAAGAAAGUAACUUACUACCAUUAUAUUUCACCAAAAUAAGUAAACAGUAUAAAUAAGAUGAAGUCACUGAAAGUAAAUAGAAACAUAUCUGUGUGAAUUUAUUGGGUAAGACAAGGUUCAGAGAUACUGUGAGAACAAGUCUAGAGAGGAGGUGGGAUGGAAGGCUGGAACUUAGGUGGAAAGACAGAGCCAGAACACCUGGAUGGGGGGGGACAGGAGACACUGGUGGCUGAAAGUUAGACUGGGUAAACGAGAGGCCUCUUGUAUGAAAGAACCAUAGUACAUAGGAAGAAAACAAAGAUACUUUUCCAUUAAGGGCUUAGCCUGAAGGUGGCUGCUUUGUGCUAGCUGCUUUCACGCAGCAAAUGAGCAAACCCAUCUAAUGAUACCACACAAGAUGGGAUUAUUCAGUGUUCAUCUUUCUGAAGGAAGAACUAAAUCAAAUGCUGAUCAGUAUUGCUCAGUGAGGGGACCUCUCUGGAGUCUGAAGUCCUUCCUGGAAUAUGGUCCAACCAUCAGUUAUUGGUUACUUCUGCAAGGUACUUCAUGACAGACAUCAACAGAGAUGUGAAGUUGAGGAAAAUAAAUUGUUGGCCCAAAGUCAUUCAGCAGAGCAAUAGUAGAGCCUUGAGCUGGGUUAAGUACUUCAACCAAUAUAACAUUCUCCUCAGGAGAGAAGAAUUUGCUUUGAGGACCCUUAGAAAAUUCAGUGUUUAUUUGACAAGACUUUCUAAAUGUAUACAGUCUUGGAACUGAGUAUUCCUUCUUUUCAGAGGAUAUCAACUUAAACAUUAAAGGAAGACACAAGAAAAUGUCAAGAUCAUGGUGAUAAUAUUUGCUUGCAGAAGAAAUGGCCAGAGCAGUGACAACUUUGGGCAGCAACUGUUUAAAUCACCCUGUGGAGGUGUCCCUUGGGGAGACCUCACUCUGGAUUUGUUGGUAGUGAAAUCAUUGACUUGUACCUUUACUUUCGUCACAUAUCCUGUGGAGACUUCUGCGCAAACCCAGCUUACAGACUCUCUUUGAAGGCAAGAUGAGAAUGCUCUCUUCUCUGGCACUGAGAAGCACAAGUCUUAAAACUACCUCUCAGUGAUGCUUUCAGCAGACAGGUGCAUGGUGGACCAAUGAGUGUCUACUCCUCAUCCCUCCAGUGCCAGUGGAUAUGGGAUAGAAAUCACAUGAAUGUUUUCAGCAUUGUGUCACCAUCAUUGUCCCUGUUACUUUGCCAGAAGAGCUCCUUUCUUUGCAGAGGUAUACAGACAAAGUGAUCAGUAUGUCUGUUUAAGAUUUGUAAUAAGUAAAAAAUAAAUAUUUACUCUGAAGCUUGAGUCA
rnacentral:lncRNA from 1 species